UUAGGGGUUAUAGAGCAGCUGAGAGUACUCUACAUUUUCUCUUCCUCUGCAAUAGUGAUUGUGCAGUCAAAUGAUGAGAUGGUUAAGCCAAGGGACGGAAAAAAGCAAAACAAAACCGGAUUGCCAAUACACAUGGAGAAGGAGCCUGGGGAGUAGCCUGAGCUGAAUUUCAUGUGAAGUGCCUCACUCCCCCUUCACCUUCUGCCAUGAUUUCAAGUUCCACAAGGUCUCCCUAGAAGCUGACGUCACCGUGCUUCCUGUACAACCUGCAAAAUGUUCAGAACGAAGUUUCCUAUUAUACCAAAUGCAUAGCCACGCAGGAGAGGAGAGGCUUGUUUUCCAGUGAUGGUUCACCACGAAUCUUUGGGACAAGAAUCAUCAAAAGAAUAGGACCAGUGAAUGGCACUGACAUGGGGCUGAAAAAGGGUAUUAAGAGAAAAUCUUCAUGCUAUAAUAUAGGACCACAGGAGCUCCUCCCCACCUCGAUCUCUGAAAUUAGGUAAAAUCAUCCCUUUUCCCAGGGAGUGACCUACAUUCAAUAACUGAUUUAGAGAUCAGAGGGUCUAAUUUACUUAUCCCAAAUCAAUGUGAAUCUGUAGGCAAUCUCAACCUCCAGGUCCUGACUAGUAAUGACCAACCCAAGGACUAUCUGAAAGACAGAGGGCCUGUCUAGAUGGGUUCAAAAGUAUUCUCUUCCACUACAGCCACAGCUCAGUUUGAGCUGAAAAUUAGGCCCAGAAUUUUUUUAUUUGAUGACCUCUUUGAAAAGGUAUUCCUAAUCCAAUAGCAUAAAAGUAUUUUUCUAUAUUUUAAUUUUUUUCCAGAAGCCUUAUUGGUUUACUUAUUACAUUUGGGCCUAUGGUCCAUUUAAAAUUAAGGUGGUAAGAGAUAAGAGUUUUGGUUCAAUUUUGCCCAUACAGUUAUAGGAUUUGACUAGUACCAUUUAUAGAAGACAUAUUUGGAUUUCACUACAGAAUGUUUUAUUUACAUUGUGUUACAAAAUGUAAAUCACAUCUAUAAGCCAGAUAUUAUAAUUUUUUUUUUUAGUUCAAUAAGCUAAGCUGUGGAUCAUGGCAGUGAAAAAGGCAUAUUCUCUUGAGAUUAAGAUAUAUCUUUCGAUGAAUCAUCAAUAGUGGAUAGAAAUUUGUAACACAAUUUUCACUGCAGAGUACUCAGAAAAGUAAGGUCUAGUUAAUUCAUCAUUCCAUAAUCUAGCCAUGGUGUAGUUAAAAACUAGAACAGUUUUUCAAUGUGGCAUUUAAAGGAAAUUAAAGAAAAAAUUUGUUUAAAAUACUUGAGCACAUUGAGAAUCGACAUUCACUGUACAUAUUUUACUAACAAUACAAUGUUAAUAAUAAUUAUUAUUUUUAAAAAAAUAGGCCUAUCACUUCAACUCAUUGUGUUCUCAUGCCAGCUUUCAGGCCCUCUACCCAAAAUGGGUCAAGAAUCAUCUAGUCAUAUUCAUCAGGCAUUGAUUAUCCUCAUCCUUGGUUCACAUUUUUCCUAUUUUAGAAACCAACAUUUUCUCUUACCUCACUAGUGUGUGAAGACCUCAUUUUUAAAUUGAACUUAAUCUUUUCAAAAUUCAGUUAAAGAACCAAGUUUUAAUUUAUUGAGUUUUCUGUUUAUUUCCUAUAUUCUUCAUAAAGCAUAGGGUUCAUGUUUAAUGUAUUAAUCCCAAGAACCAUGUUAUCAGUUUGUGUGGCACAGUAGCCAUCUUUCUGAUUGAGAAUCUGUUUCUGUAUCUAGCACCUUUGGCAGUAUUAGCAUGUUUCUCUGCUGUAAUGAUCAGAGGUUAUAUUCCACUCCCUCCCAGAAAGAACCACUUAUGACUAGACUCUAGGCUGUAAAUGUGUUCCCUGUUGUACAACUCAGCAGCACCUUCUGUGUAACACUUUAUUUGUUAUGAGACUCGGGUAUAUAUUUGACUUUAAUUAAUGUUUAUUGGCCAGUAGAUAGGUUUGAAAAUUUAUAAGAUACAUGCAUUAUUUCAGCUUGUUCUUAUGUUUUCAAAUUUCUCAUCUCAAUAAUAGCAAUAACAGUGACAACAAUAAAAAAGUGCUCUUCCUAAUGUCUCUAAGUGCAAUGGGAUAUUGUAUUUCUGAAGUUUUAUAAUAUUAAACCAAUGCUCAGGAACAAUUAGAUUACAGUGUAAGCUCAGUGCUCUAGUUUUUACUGUCACGUUCUGUUAUGAACCCUAGUCACUAAAGUGGAAAUGAUCAGAUCACUGAUGGUGUUGUGAAGCAAGGGAGGGCAGGCUAACAGUAUUGUUCCUGCCCCAUGGGUCUGUACAUCCCACACUCAGGUAAUAAUAGCAACAUUAAGAAUACGAAGCCAAACUGACAUUAGUCAGUGAGUAAUACCAAUGGGAAAAAUUAAAGAGAAAAGAUCAAUUCAAAGGAGUCUCAACUUACGCAUUCCAAACAAAAGGCCAAUUAAUGAAGUGCUUACUAGAGAUAAAACAUGUUCAAUAAAAGAUAACUACACUUUCUCUUGGUUCUGAAGGAAAGUGCUAAUUGCUAAUGCAACAACUUGGGACCAGUGACUAGAUGGAAGUUCCUGAAUAAAUGUACACAUAAGGGAAAUUAAAUUACUGUGCUACAUUUGGAAAAUUAUCCAAAGCAUGUGUUUUGAUUUCAAAGUGCUUAGAAUCAGGGUUUUAUCUCCUAAAUCUCCAGGAAAUAGUUAAAAUUAACAGAGACAAGGAAAGUAUAUAAAGUCAUGUUCUUUUGCAGGCCACACCAUGUGAAAUUAGAACCAAAAUCAUUGAGGUCAGUUCAAUUUCUUCAGUGUGAUAAAUUAUAUUUGAUCUUUAUGUGUCAUUACAAGCUGAACUUUUAGGUUUUAUUUUUUCAUAUUGCCAAAAAGUGUGACUAGAUCGUGCUAUACUUAAAAUAUUUUUAGGACAAAAUUAAAGACAAUUGAAGGAAAAUUAAGGAGAUAUAAGAUAAAUGAAAGUUGUUUAGCUUGAGAUGAUCUGAAAAAAAUGUGAUGUAGGUCUAAGCAUACCUAUAGAUGUCUAGCAAUUUCUCCUUCUAAGAAGAACAAAAGAAAGAGAAAAAAGAAAGACGCAUUUUCUAGGGAAUAAACUAGUUCAAAAAUAUCAGGUUACCAAGAAUAAUAUUUUUUACAAAUAAAUAAAUAAAUAAAUAAAACCUCUAUAGAUGAGCAUCUGUUAUUCAGUGAGCCAGAACUCUUACAAUGUUCUGGAAGCAGUCAAAUUUUCAGAACUCAGGUUUUCAUAUAAUAUUUGCACCCAGCAGACAUUUUCUUCUUUUGUAACAAGGCAUUGAGAAAUAUUAGGUGACUUGCUAUGAGGGACUAUGUCUAAUUAGAAUGUGAGGGAGGGCAGGGAGAAGUUCUGUAAUUCUCUUUUAUUGUACUACCUCAUUUCCAGUUCCAUGAAGUCUGAAUAAUAAUACUUAUAAUUGACCAACUCUGGGGUUCAUAGAGCUCUGUACCUAGAAGGUAUUCUAAAAUUUGGAGAAAUAAAAUAAUAAAUAAAGAAAAAAGCAGGCUGGGCACGGUGGCUCAAGCCUGUAAUUCCAGCACUUUGGGAGGCCGAGGCGGGUGGAUCACGAGGUCAACAGAUUGAGACCAUCAUGGUCAACAUGGUGAAACACCGUCUCUACUAAAUAAUACAAAAAAUUAGCUGGGCAUGGUGACGCAUGCCUGUGAUUCCAGCUACUCAGGAGGCUGAGGCAGGAGAAUUGCCAGAACCCAGGGGGCAG